AACUAUCAAUCUAUUAGUGUGUUUACUCUAGUAAUGGUAAUAAAUUGUGAUAAUAAGCCCAUAGUUUUAAAAUUCAUCUUAUUUAAAACAGAAAAAAAUAUCACAAUUAAAAUGUGUCUCAAUGCACUCAUCAAUUAAAAUCACAUGAUCAUAAAUAUGAACAUGGAAAAAAUCAUUUGGUUUUCAUCGAUAAAAAGAAUAUUCAUUAAACUGUUUUCCCGUCAUCGAGUCUACUCAAACAAGCCUAUUAACGAAGGUCAAUGAGAUGUUGGUACUACAACAGCGGAAAUAACUUUCAUUUAUUAAAUUUACUAUUCUCUUUCUGCAGUUUUAAUUACUUUCUCGAUUACUUUUUUCCUCAAUUUCCAACUAUUAUUCAAUUUAAUAGUUAAUUUCCACUAAUGAUUAUAAAACGAAGAUUUUAAAGAUGAAAAAAGUUGCCAUGUUGAUCCAAUUAUAUGAUAAAGACGCCAAUAAAUACUUGAAAUGAUAAGACACCCGGAUAGAUCUUGAUCUUCUGUGUUAAUAAACCACAAAACAAACGUUUCAACGAUAGAUAAAAAAUAAUUGAGUAUUUAACACGGCUUUUAUUUGCCGCCAAAAAGAUUUAAAUUUAUUUCUGGUAAUUUGUUGAUGAUUAAAUUAUUACCUUGGUCUUUGGCGACAUUGUAAUCAGGUAAAGGAUGAGA